rnacentral:rRNA from 1 species
GUAGGGAAUCUUGCGCAAUGGGCGAAAGCCUGACGCAGCCAUGCCGCGUGAAUGAUGAAGGUCUUAGGAUUGUAAAAUUCUUUCACCGGGGACGAUAAUGACGGUACCCGGAGAAGAAGCCCCGGCUAACUUCGUGCCAGCAGCCGCGGUAAUACGAAGGGGGCUAGCGUUGCUCGGAAUUACUGGGCGUAAAGGGCGCGUAGGCGGACAGUUUAGUCAGAGGUGAAAGCCCAGGGCUCAACCUUGGAAUUGCCUUUGAUACUGGCUGUCUUGAGUACGGGAGAGGUGAGUGGAACUCCGAGUGUAGAGGUGAAAUUCGUAGAUAUUCGGAAGAACACCAGUGGCGAAGGCGACUCACUGGCCCGUUACUGACGCUGAGGCGCGAAAGCGUGGGGAGCAAACAGGAUUAGAUACCCUGGUAGUCC